AUUGAACGCUGGCGGCAGGCUUAACACAUGCAAGUCGAGGGGAGCGGCCGACGGGUGAGUAAUGCCUAGGAAUCUGCCUGGUCGUGGGGGAUAACGUCCGUAAACGGGCGCUAAUCCCCCAUACUAUCAGAUCAGCCUUGGUUGGAUUUGCUAGUUGUUGGGGUAUAGGCCUACAAAGGCGACGAGACGUAACUGGUCUGAGGGGAUGGUCAGUCACACUGGAACUGAGACACGGUCCAGACUCCUACGGGAGGCAGCAGUGGGGAAUAGUGGACAAUGGGAGAAAGCAUGAUCUAGCCAUGCCGAGUGUGGGAAGAAGUGCUUCGGAUUGUAAAGCACGUUAAGUUGGGAGGCGUUACCACAAGAAUAAGCACCGGCUAAUUUCGUGCCAGCAGCCGCGGUAAUAC
rnacentral:rRNA from 1 species